AUGGUGGCUUGUAGGCAGAUGUGUCUCAGACCGAAGUUGUUGCCGCUGGACCGUGGUUACAUGCAUCCUAGAUUGGAGGCAGCGGUGCAGGGAGAUAUGCAUGUGCAAGGAAAAGAAGUGGGCGAAGGUCAAAGAAGCAAUCUAUGCCUCCCUAUCGCUGGGUCCUGCUCCUCAAUAUGUCACCUUAGUCAUGGCUGCCUUAUCCCUCAUGCUGCUGAUUUGAACCUGCCCUACUCCUCUCCUAGGCUACUCGAGGGCUUCAGCGCGUGCCUUGCCGAUGACAGGGAAGGAAGAAUCAGAAGUGACGGCUAG
rnacentral:rRNA from 1 species